rnacentral:lncRNA from 1 species
AAAACAUAUUUUCUAUAUAUAGAAAUUGGUGGUUAGAAUGAUGUGGCCCCCUAGGGUUGAAUGAGUGGUUUGUUGAAUAGUAUAAUCUAACGAAUAAAAUUAAUCAUAAAAUUAAAUCUAACGGUAAAACACUCGAUAGCACCAAAUCCUUGGUGCUAUCGAUAGUACCCCAGCCAGACUCUAUAUAUAGAACUAGGCUGGAAUACUAUCAAUAUUACCAAGCUAUUGGUACUAUUGAUUUUUUAGUCCUUGGAUUGAGAAAUAGAUAGUUAGGAUGAUGUUGCCCCCUAAGGUUGAGUGAGUGGUUUGUUGAAUAAUAUAAUUUAAUGGGUAAAAAUAAUCAUAGAAUUAAAUGAAUUAAAUAUUCUAACAGGGAAAAACUCGAUAGCACUAAAUU